ACAAUGACUUUUCUCAAAGUCAUACAAUUAUAAGAAAGAUAGGAUGU
rfam:Felis catus isolate Cinnamon breed Abyssinian chromosome A1, whole genome shotgun sequence.